UACGUAGGGGGCUAGCGUUGUCCGGAAUCAUUGGGCGUAAAGAGCGUGUAGGCGGUCCGGUAAGUCCGCUGUGAAAGUCGGGGGCUCAACCCUCGAAUGCCGGUGGAUACUGUCGGGCUAGAGUACGGAAGAGGCGAGUGGAAUUCCUGGUGUAGCGGUGAAAUGCGCAGAUAUCAGGAGGAACACCAAUUGCGAAGGCAGCUCGCUGGGACGUUACUGACGCUGAGACGCGAAAGCGUGGGGAGCAAACAGG
rnacentral:rRNA from 1 species